rnacentral:misc_RNA from 1 species
CCAAUAGCGUAUAUUAAAGUUGUUGCAGUUAAAAAGCUCGUAGUUGAAUUUCGGGAUCAAGGGAUCGGUCAUGCCUUGGUAUGUACUGGUUUUAUUGGUUCUCACCUUCUAAAGAACCAUAAUGUCAUUUAUUUGAUGUUAUGGGGAAUUAGGACUGUUACCUUGAAAAAAUUAGAGUGUUUAAAGCAAGCUUACGCUUGAAUACAUUAGCAUGGAAUAAUGAAAUAGGACAUCAGAUUCUAUUUUGUUGGUUUCUAGGAUCGAUGUAAUGAUUAAUAGGGAUAGUUGGGGGCAUUAGUAUUCAAUUGUCAGAGGUGAAAUUCUUGGAUUUAUUGAAGACUAACUAAUGCGAAAGCAUUUGCCAAGGAUGUUUUCAUUAAUCAAGAACGAAAGUUAGGGGAUCGAAGACGAUCAGAUACCGUCGUAGUCUUAACCAUAAACUAUGCCGACUAGGGAUCGGAUGAUGUUAAUUUUUUAAUGACUCAUUCGGCACCUUACG